rnacentral:rRNA from 1 species
AUUGAAACUCUGCACGAGGAUCAAUUGGUGGGCAAGUCUGGUGCCAGCAGCCGCGGUAAUUCCAGCUCCAAUAGCGUAUAUUAAAGUUGUUGCAGUUAAAAAGUUCGUAGUUGAAUUUCUGGACGCGACGGCGGUCCGCCUUCGGGUGUGUACUUGCUGUUCGCGUCCAAACCUUGCGGAGAAGGCGUGUGGCCUUAACUGGUUGUGCGUUCGGAUCCGCAUCAAUUACUGUGAGCAAAUUAGAGUGUUUAAAGCGGGCAUUUCGCUUGAAUACAUUAGCAUGGAAUAAUGAGAUAGGACUUUGGUGCUAUUUCGUUGGUUGCGUGCCAAAGUAAUGAUUAAUAGGGACAGUUGGGGGUAUUCAUAUUUGAUUGUCAGAGGUGAAAUUCUUGGAUUUAUCAAAGAUGAACAACUGCGAAAGCAUUUACCAAGGAUGUUUUCAUUAAUCAAGAUCGAAAGUCAGGGGAUCGAAGAGGAUUAGAUACCCUCGUAGUCUUGACCAUAAACUAUGCCGACUCAGGAUUGGCGGUGUUCUUCAAUGUCGCCGCCAGCAUUGUAUGAUAAAUCAAAGUCUUUGGGUUCCGGGGGGAGUAUGGUCGCAAGGCUGAAACUUAAAGGAAUUGACGGAAGGGCACACCAGGAGUGGAGCCUGCGGCUUAAUUUGACCCAACACGGGGAAACUUACCAGGUCCAGACAUAGUAAGGAUUGACAGAUUGAGAGCUCUUUCUUGAUUCUAUGGGUGGUGGUGCAUGGCCGUUCUUAGUUGGUGGAGUGAUUUGUCAGGUUAAUUCCGGUAACGAACGAGACCUCCGCCUGCUAAAUAGUCACGUGAUGCUUUGCAUCCACGGGCGACUUCUUAGAGGGACUACGGGCGGUGAGCUCGCGGAAGUUGGAGGCAAUAACAGGUCUGUGAUGCCCUUAGAUGUUCUGGCCGCACGCGCGCUACACUGACUGGUUCAGAAAGCUUUAUCCUUUGCUCCGAAAGGCAUGGGUAAUCUUUAAACGCCAGUCGUGAUGGGGAUAGAUUCCUGUAAUGAUAAUCUUCAACGAGGAAUUCCUAGUAAACGCAACUCAUCAGGUUGCAUUGAUUACGUCCCUGCCCUUUGUACACACCGCCCGUCGCACCUACCGAUUGAAUGGUCCGGUGAAACUCUCGGAUCGUGGUCGUUUGCCUCUUCACGGAGGCGUCGAUCGCGAGAAGUUAUCUUAACCUUAUCAUUUAGAGGAAGGUGAAGUC